ensembl:lncRNA
GUGGGAAGUUCCAUUUGCCAAAUGGGAUAUCAAAACAACAACGUGAAGUUACAACUGAAUUACGUAGCUACAGGUGGAAUUUCAGAGGAUUAUACUUGACAUUUUUUUCAAAUGCAAAUUCAUUUUUGCAUGCACUGGGAAUAGCACACAUGCAGGAGUCUUCUCUCUGGUUAUGACUGCUCCGAAGAACAGAAAGCAUUAACUUUAAUAUUCCAAGAAGAGGAGGACUUAAGGAAACAAAAUGCAGACAAAUACCAUCAUCUUCCCUAUUCUGAAGAAAGACUGUGGUGUGGGUGCACAGCCAGCUCAGAGUGCUGAGGGGAGCUGCUGGUUAAUUGGAGCACCUUGGAAGAGAGAAAUAAUCGGUUUGGGAUCUUGUCUUCCUGUGGCAGUUGGAGAUGUGCACGAGGUUCUGUUUCCCGAGUGGGAUGGAUCCCAGGAAACAUCAUCAUGAUAGACAUCAACGUUGAAACAAAAAGACCACGAUAUUAGUGUAUGUAGAAUUUCGAAUACUGUACAGAGAAAAUAGAGGAGAAGGCACAUCAAGAAGACUGCAUGGCUUCUCAGCGCAAUGAUGCUGGAGACGGUCCUGAUGCAAUAAUGUGAUAAGACUUAUGAGAAAGACAUGCAGAAGAAAUGCAAUAGGGCAACACAUCCAAUACACCAGAAUGAAAUGGCCAGAAGAACACUCCACUAUCUCUCUCUGAUCAUGAACACCAAGGAGAACAGAAAGGAAUACAUAGUCACGUGCAAGAAGAGAAUGACUACAGGAAUUGAAAUGCUGGCAAUAUUACCAAAUUGCUGAGAGAGUGCGGCGGUAGUGCGGUGCCGGCGGUUC